rnacentral:ncRNA from 1 species
AUAAACGCAAAGAUUGGGAGUAAUAAGGAAUAACUAUUGCCAAGAGAGCUGUCGGCAGGUGCAAGACAGUCAGUAGUUUCCCCAACUCGCCCAUGAGCGGCAAGGUCGACAACGGUAGAUCUUGACAGCUAACCCCUGUAAUCGGGUUCUGAGAUUCGUUGUCUCUUUUUUGAUCACAACGAGUAAGAAGAGUGGUAUCGCGUGGGUAAAACCUAUCGCCUCUUUG